UGCAGUCGAGCGAACAGAUAAGGAGCUUGCUCCUUUGAAGUUAGCGGCGGACGGGUGAGUAACACGUGGGUAACCUACCUAUAAGACUGGGAUAACUUCGGGAAACCGGAGCUAAUACCGGAUAACAUUUAGAACCGCAUGGUUCUAAAGUGAAAGAUGGUUUUGCUAUCACUUAUAGAUGGACCCGCGCCGUAUUAGCUAGUUGGUAAGGUAACGGCUUACCAAGGCGACGAUACGUAGCCGACCUGAGAGGGUGAUCGGCCACACUGGAACUGAGACACGGUCCAGACUCCUACGGGAGGCAGCAGUAGGGAAUCUUCCGCAAUGGGCGAAAGCCUGACGGAGCAACGCCGCGUGAGUGAUGAAGGGUUUCGGCUCGUAAAACUCUGUUAUUAGGGAAGAACAAAUGUGUAAGUAACUGUGCACAUCUUGACGGUACCUAAUCAGAAAGCCACGGCUAACUACGUGCCAGCAGCCGCGGUAAUACGUAGGUGGCAAGCGUUAUCCGGAAUUAUUGGGCGUAAAGCGCGCGUAGGCGGUUUCUUAAGUCUGAUGUGAAAGCCCACGGCUCAACCGUGGAGGGUCAUUGGAAACUGGGAAACUUGAGUGCAGAAGAGGAAAGUGGAAUUCCAUGUGUAGCGGUGAAAUGCGCAGAGAUAUGGAGGAACACCAGUGGCGAAGGCGACUUUCUGGUCUGUAACUGACGCUGAUGUG
rnacentral:rRNA from 1 species